GUCCAUUGAUAUACUGAGGAGCAUUCCUGAUCUCCUAAUGAUUUCAGCAGUUAAGUGGAGUGAGCUUUGGUUAGUACUUAGAUGAGACAGUACUGUAUCGGGGGCACAGCCAUUGUAUACAAUGUCUAGUGUGCU
ensembl:rRNA